UACGUAGGGUGCAAGCGUUGUCCGGAAUUAUUGGGCGUAAAGAGCUCGUAGGCGGUCUGUCGCGUCGAUCGUGAAAACUUGGGGCUUAACCCUGAGCUUGCGGUCGAUACGGGCAGUGACUGGAGUUCGGCAGGGGAGACGUGGAAUUCCGAUCGUGUAGCGGUGAAAUGCGCAGAUAUCAGGAGGAACACCGGUGGCGAAGGCGGGUCUCUGGGCAGUAACUGACGCUGAGGAGCGAAAGCGUGGGGAGCGAACAGG
rnacentral:rRNA from 1 species